rnacentral:rRNA from 1 species
GUGGACGCCAGUCUGCAUGGAGCCGACCUUGAAAUACCACCCUUUAAUGUUUGAUGUUCUAACGUGGACCCGUUACCCGGGUUGCGGACAGUGUCUGGUGGGUAGUUUGACUGGGGCGGUCUCCUCCUAAAGAGUAACGGAGGAGCACGAAGGUUGGCUAAUCCUGGUCGGACAUCAGGAGGUUAGUGCAAUGGCAUAAGCCAGCUUGACUGCGAGCGUGACGGCGCGAGCAGGUGCGAAAGCAGGUCAUAGUGAUCCGGUGGUUCUGAAUGGAAGGGCCAUCGCUCAACGGAUAAAAGGUACUCCGGGGAUAACAGGCUGAUACCGCCCAAGAGUUCAUAUCGACGGCGGUGUUUGGCACCUCGAUGUCGGCUCAUCACAUCCUGGGGCUGAAGUAGGUCCCAAGGGUAUGGCUGUUCGCCAUUUAAAGUGGUACGCGAGCUGGGUUUAGAACGUCGUGAGACAGUUCGGUCCCUAUCUGCCGUGGGCGCUGGAGAACUGAGGGGGGCUGCUCCUAGUACGAGAGGACCGGAGUGGACGCAUCACUGGUGUUCGGGUUGUCAUGCCAAUGGCACUGCCCGGUAGCUAAAUGCGGAAGAGAUAAGUGCUGAAAGCAUCUAAGCACGAAACUUGCCCCGAGAUGAGUUCUCCCUGAGACUUAA